UGCAAAGACAGCCACUACCCAGUCUGGCCCU
rnacentral:piRNA from 1 species